CUAAAAAUAUUUAUUAUAAUCAGACGUAAACCCAAAUAGUUUUCUACACAGGCGGCGAAUUUGUCAUCAAAUUGAUUAAUAAAAUGCACGGAAUCGGCGGCAUCCAUUACUAUCCGAUUUGGCUCCAUUCAGCAAAUUGAUGAAUGAAAUGAACAGAAUCGGCGCAUCCAUUGUUGUCCGAUUUGGCUCCGUUCAAUUGAUGAAUGAAAUGCACGGAAUCGAAGGCAUCCAUUAUUGUCCGAUUUGGCUCCGUUCAGCUAAUUUAAUUUUCCGGCCGACUGAUUUUGACUGAGGUAAUUUUCACCUAAAACUGAGUCUUAUAUGUUCUGUAAAUUAAGUUAUAGUGCUUUAACUCUGCUCUCGCUGCAUAGUGAUAGCCCUAACUUCAAUCUCUCCGUAUCUGUGCUAUUUGGUUAUCUCAAUAUCCAUGUGUUUUGAUACGAAGUAUGGAUAUUUUAGGUAAGUAUAGAGAAACAUUGAUUGUUGAGCCUUGAGGUGUGAAACUUACGAAAAAGUGAUGGUUUAGGUGUUUUUUUAAUCGCUCUGUAUUGAAAUUUUAGUGCUUCGUGUGAAAUACUUCAAUCUGAAGUCAUUUUCGAAUUGUUCGGAUUGAGGUAUAGUUGAUUCGUUGAUUUUCCUACUAUUCAAAGCAACCUUUUUACCGCCCGGGAUCUAAGCAUUUGAAAUCUAUUAGUUUCCAAAUCCAAAUCAGUCCAUCCACAACUGUUAAGAGUAAAGCUAAAAUCGUUUUUGGAAUAUAACAAACCAAAACCAUUAUGUACUAUUGAAACUGAAUCAUAUGAUUGGGAGAAAACUUCACACUUUUCUCUUUCAAUUUGAAGGAAUCUCAAAAGUUAAGAGACAAAAAAUAAGUGACGUUGCACGUUGAUUAGCUUUGUCAUUGCGAUCUGAUGAGGUACGUUGACUUAUUCAGCUCAUUGCUUUUUUCUAUUUUUGGACAAGUUUAUUUUAUAGCGUGUUUAGUCAUCUCAGUUUGUGUUUUGAAAUCAUGAAACAAAGUAACUUUACUAAUUUAUUCGAUAGUGUCAGUAUUUUGGGACUCUAAAAACCUAAAGACUCGCAUAUGCUCCCUCUGACCACUUUUACUUUUCUACUUUUAACUUCACAUGCCUCUUAAGUAACAAUGGUUGAUAUGCAUAUUUUACGACAAUGCCAAUAUUAAUUGAUGAAUACUCUUAGGUCUUGGGACAUGCUUUGUGAAAUAAGUAACUAAUAUUGACGUUAAAUAUAUUUUUUUUUUGUUGUCUAUUCUUGAUAUAUUAGAAGUAAUAAAGUAAAAGUGAAAAUCUACUUUUUGGAAUAGUAGGCGUUUAAGAAUUAACUAAGGGAGUAGUAAACCUGACAAGGUGACCACAAUAAAAAAGUAUAUUAGUAAGGUUAGUAUUACUAUCAACACAAUACUCUAAUACCAAAUCCAUGUUUUACCAAUAAUUGACUCUUAAUUUAUUCAAGAAAAUCACAAAUUAAUGGAGGGUGAAAUUAUUGUAGUUCCAUGUCAGUAGAAUUUGUAAAAAAAUAUCGACCUAUGAGUAGGCAAGGACACAUUAUAACAAUUGUUUUGAACCCCUUCAUGCUCUUGUCGUGUCGAAAUACUGCACAAAAAGAGGAAUAGUAAAGAAAGGAAACGUAAAAUAUACGACUAAUUUACCGUGCUUUCUGUCUCAUGAAAAUUAGUUGAACCAACAUAAUUAGCUCGAUUAAGCAAAUUACCUUGCAAGUUAAUGGUACAAAAAAUGUCCUCAAACACCAAAAUUGACUUAUUCGUUAUGGCAACCGACAACUCCCUUAAAUUUGAAUUCCUCGUCAAUGCAGUCAACUCCAAAUCAUAUAUGUCGAAGUUCAAAUAAUUCGCCAUUGCUGCAAUCAAACUAGAUUUCUAAGUCCUCGGAGGACCAAACAACAAAUACCCUCUUUUCCAUGCCUUCCCUACUUCCUAUAAUAAUCUUUUCUCAUCAGGAAUCUCUCCAAAUCCUUCAAAAUCAUGUGUUUCUGGUCUCCGAUUCCAUCAUGAUUGUCUAAAAAGUGGCGGGAUGAUCAAAUUCACCGGCUUCCACAUGUCAUGUAAAUUGUAAAUCUCUUCAUAUCCCACAUUAUGAAUCUUGAUCGUCUUGUUUUUGUGUUUUUUGUAAUAUUGCUUCUUUUAUGAUGUAUGGCAAGUAAGAAUUAAGGACAAGGUUCUUGUUUUUCUUGUGAAAUGUCAACCCAUGUCUGUGGGGUUGUAGAAGUGUUUUAGACUGUACUUGUCUACAGUUUCACUUGAAUGAUUGCCCAUUAUAAACAUCUACACCUAUUGGAAUAAAACCUUCAUAUCAGAAAAAAGCAUCAUCUUCAAAAGAUCUAUUAUCUUAAAUUAUUACGAAGGCAAAUUAAAUGUGGAAGCUUACUUGAGCACCCAUGCAUAUAGAACAAUUUUUCAAUUCAAGAUGUGAAUCUUUAGGGAACUAAUAUUCACUUCUCUAAUGGUGGACUACUAGAGAAACUUUCAUUAUGUGUAAUUUGGGGACCAUAACCCUAUUUAUAAUUACACAUAGUUUGCUUGUUUCUAUUUUGUUUGGUUUAUUAUUAAAUUAGAAGUUUUAUCAGCAUAUCUUCACAUAAAAACACAUACUUUAUGAUUUUUCUUACGAAACAUUUAACUUUUUGCAUUAAGUUGACUACCUGACUACUUGUAUUCUAUGUUGCUCAGACCCUAAAAAAUAUGGUUAUACACGUGAGAUUCUCCAAAAGUGCAUGACAUUAGAAGGAUUUGAUAUUUUCAUUUGACAAUCACUACAAAAAAACAGAAAUUUGCUACAAAUUUUAUUGCUUAUUCGUUGCUAAAUAGCUCAUAGCUAACACAAAUUUUGGAUAAUUUGAAGUGACAUAUAUUGUUAUUAAGCUACAAAAUUUUUACACUACUAAUCCACAUAUUCUUAGUACUAAAUAUAUUUUAAGAGUUCAAGCAACAUAACUUUUAGUUUGAUCUAAAACUUUUAUUAUAACAAAUAAUAUAACUUGCAAUUAUCAUGUUAUAUAUAAAUGUGUGUGUGCAAAUAAGUACCUCAUUACGUUUCAUGGUGAUGUUCAAAUUUUUCUCCUUCUCAGUCUUACUGAAUUUAAAUAUAUGGAUUUGAGGGGACAACUUGUUGGCCAAAUAAAUCGAUGCAACUUCAUAAACUUUGUUGUUGAAGAGGCCAUCAAAUUCGUCAAUCACCAUCGUUAGCUGAUUUGAGAACUUGGUGAACAUGUUUUUGAGUCCAAAGAAGAGAUAUGCAUGCAAUUCCCUAGGGAUGUAGUUGUGGAUUAUCGUAGGGACCAACAUGAUUGUUGCAGUAACUAAGCCUACUCUCGAUAAAAUUGUCUUGGCGAGGGUUAAUUUUCGAUUUUGCACAUGAAGAGGACAUGCUUCUUAAGGGCUUUUUGGCUAGUGGGUCUGUAACAACUAAAUUUUUGUUCCUGAAAAUGUAACAAUCAAGACAAGAAAGUACGAUAAGUAUUUAUAUUUUAUUUCAUUAUGUGUGUGGAUUACAAUCUUUAUGAAAUCUUAAAUAGAAAGAUGUAAUCGUUUUAUUCUUAUCAUCAUGACCAGUAUUUUGGAUGGUUAAAGACGAUAAAAAGCGACAAGGAUCUGUCUCGCCACAGGGUGAGGCGAGCAAUGAGGCGCUCACCUUUCGUAAAGUGCGGCACCAUUUAAUAGCAAAAAAGUAAAAUAUUUAAUUGCAUGUGUAAAUAAUUAAAAUCUCAAUAGCAAUAACAUAUUAACAAAUAUUUCAAUUCAAAAACUGAAAAAUAGAUAAUACAUGCUAAAAUAAAACUUGAAUGAGAAAAAAAAACCUUAACAAAAGUCAAAACAAAGGUAAGAAGAAGGAAAAAGAAAUAAGAAGAAGGAAAAAGAAAAGAGGAAGAAGAAAUAUAUAUUGGUUAAACUUUGGAGUUGUCGGAAAAGUCUGGCUAGUUGCCGAAGGAGUCUAGUCGAAAACGCUAAAAUUACGUUUUAACUUUUGAAACCCUAAAUUGGUCGCCUAAGAAAAUACAAAAGGCGACACCUUUCUUGCCUUUUGUCAUCAUGUCGUCGCAUUUUGAUGAUCGUCUCGCCACAAAGCUAAAAGGAUUUGAAGAUCGCCUCGCCUCUCGCCAUCAGUGACGAGGUGAUCGCCUUUCACAACAAUGAUCACGACCAUCAACUCAAGGUUUUAUAGUUGUAGAAGGUAGACUAUUUAAGUGUAAUUAACUCUCGCUUGAUUUUGAUCAGCUCAUUUGAUGAGGUCACAUUUAAUUAGCCAAGACAUGUCAAUUGGAACAUUUGUUUGCUAUUGAUGUGUUUAAUAUGACUUGGAGUGCCACAUCAUUGGAAUACGUGACAUCAUUUUAUUUGUCCUUUAUUUGACUUGAUGUGUCAUGUCAUUUGACACAUGGCAUGUGCCUUGGCCUAAUUGAGCGGGCUCAUUAUUUGAAGACCGACUCAAUGGACUAGCUCACGUGAAAUUGGACUUUGCUUAAAUCCAUAUCUUGGAAUUAAAAAAUCUGAUCUUGAUUUGGGUUUGAUAUUUAUUGAAUUUAUGUGAAUUUAAUCUAGAUUUAUUUCCAUAAAUUCCUAAGUCUACUAAUUCCUCAAGAUUUUGCUGAAGUGUUAUGUGCCUAAAACAAGAGUGAACUUGUAGAAAGCAAGAGUGAGUAGUAGAAACUGACAGCCUUGAUUCAUUGGUUUAGAUUAGUUUUAAUCCAGAAGAGGUCUUGGGUUCAAUACUACUUAACCAAUUUUUUUUAUGAGUAUAUUGUAGUUUUCAAAACUAAGCUUAGUUUGAGGUUUGAACCCCUGACUUCAAACACUAAACCGGACAGUGAACCAACAUGCAAUCAGUUUAUUAAUAUCAAAUAACAUCAUUUUGUUUUACAUAUAGCUUUAUACAUAGUUUUAGUAUAUAUAUUUUGCAAAAUUUUCCAACAAGCAGUGUCGCUUGCCACCCCUUUGCUAAAUGUAAGUCUACCCUGUUGAGCUCCCCUAUUCUUCAUAUUUGCAUAGAAAUAAGCAGAAUUAAAAUCCUCUAAGUGGAGCCACUGGACUCUAAAUUUCAGCGUAUUGAUGCUCUCCUCAAUCACACUCCAUUUUUCUAGUUUAAAUUUUGAUGACUUUUGCUGCUCAAUCAAUAUAGGGUCGUGCCUAUGAUCCCUCAUUUGUUCUUGAUGAUCAGUUAGAUCUUUCCUCCAUUGCCUUUUAUCUGCUUGAAGGAGUUUUAUUAGGAAAUAAGACGAGUUUCAUAGCAAUAAUGGAACAGAAGGUGAAAGAGAAUAAAGUCAAUAAUGUUAUAGAGAAGAUAGUCUCAUAAUGGAAUGGCUAGGAAACUAAGCUCAAAGUACUAGAAAUAAAAUUUGGAUUUUGUGGAAUCUCCAACUGUAGUGGAGUACACUAUGCUUAAUAUAGGAAAGUAUCUUCGGGGUGGUCCACUGGUUUGGGCUUGGGACUUCUAUGUUGAAGGUCUCAUGUUUGAAACCCCUUGCCAGCUAAAGCAAGAGGUUUGCCUCCUGGGUCGAGCUCGUCGCAUCGGUUUGCCUAGUGCGGGUUACCUCUCUUAUGUGGUCGCAAGCUAUUGCAUGGGAGCGAGGGUUUUACCCCGUGCGCACCCAAAGGAUGGAGGCUACGAAUUUCCCUUGUCAUAAAAAAAUAUAGGAAAGUUUUAAAGUCAUAGUCAAUACCAACUAUUACUAUCAUUAGUCAUGGUACAAUAUUUUUUUAUGACAAGGAAAACCCGCAGCUGAUACCCUUUGGGUGCGCACAGGGUAAAAACCCCGCUCCUAUUCAAUAGCUCGUAAACCAGAUAAGAAAGGUAACCAGCACCAGGUAAGACUGGUGCGACGAGCUCGACCCAGAAGGCAAACCCCUUGCUUUCGCUGACAGGGGGUUUCACACUUGAGACCUCCAACAUGGAAGUCCCAAGCCCAAACCACUGGGCCUGCCCGAAGGAUACAAUUUUUCCUAUUUACUUUGGACUAUUUCUCACUUUAUUUGAUUUUCUUUUCUUCACACGAUUUUACUAUACAUUUACCAUUUCCUCAAUUGCAAUUGCGUCAAUAUUUUGGUUACUAUUUUUAUUUACACAUUUGGUACAUAACAAUAACAUCCACUAGCCAAAAAAACCCUUAAACAUAUGUCCUCUUCAUUAGCAGAAUGGAAAAUGGCGUUGACCAAGAUUGUUUUAUCAACAAUAAGCUCUAUUGUUGUGACAAUCAUGUUGGUUCGUUCGAUAAUCCACUGCUACAUCCCCUUUGAACUCCAUGAAUAUCUCUUCUUUGGACUCAAAAAUAUGUUCACUAAGUUCUCAAAUCAGCUAAGAUGGUGAUUGACGAAUUUAAUGGCCUUGUCAACAACGAAAUUUAUGAAGUUGCUGAAAUUUAUUUGCGCAACAAGUUGUCACCUAACAUUCAUCGACUUAAAAUUAGUUAGCCUGAGAAGGAAAAAAAUUUCAACAUUGCCAUGACAUGUAAUGAAGAGGUAAUGUUAUACUGAUAAUUGCAUCUUAUGGUAUUUGUUACCAUAAAAUAUUUAGACUAAACUAAAAAUGAUGUUGCUUGGACUCUUAAAAGAUAUACUAAUAAGAAUACAUGAAUUAGUGGUGGAAAAAUUUUGUAGCUAAACAACAUAUCCACUACACAUCAUAAAAAAAUGUGCUGGAGAUGAGCUAUUUAGCAAAAAAUUUCGUAGCAAAUUUCUGUUUUUUUUGUAAUGAUUGUCGAGUUAUGUUUGACCUUUCUAAAGCAAUGCACUUUUGAAGAAUUUAACACAUGUAUGACCACAAUUUUUAGGGUCCGAGCAAUCUAGAACAGAUGUAGUCAGACGGUCAACUUAGUGCUUAGAGUUAAAUGUUCAUAAGAAGCAUAAUAAAAUAUGUGUUUAUAUGUAUAGAUAUGCAGAUACUACUUCUAAUUUAAAGAUCAAUUAAACAAAUUAGAAACAAACAAACUAUGUGUAAUUAUAAAUAGGGUUACAGACAUAUGACUUUUUUUUCUAAUAGUCCCCAUUUGAAAGUGAAUUAAUUCUUGGGUUGUUUCUUGAAAUUAUGAAUUUAUCUAAUUUAAUUCCAUAAACUCCUAAAUUUACUAAUGCUUCAAGGUUUUGCUGUAGUUUUAUGUGCCUAAUGUGACAAAAUAGUAACCAAUAAAUUGAUUCUUGAAUUAAUUUUUUUUUACGAUCUACAAGAAGGUAAGGGGAAAUAGAGUUCAAUGGCAAUUGAGGAAAAUACAAAAUUUAUUGGAAAAUCAUUUGGAAUAGUUUAUAUUCAGACUAAAUAAACUAGUUGUUUGAUGUCAUGCUUGUAAUGCUUAGAAACUAACAUCACAUACAGAGUCUACGAGAAAAAUUAUAAGAGUGUGAAGAAGCAAUUAUGGUUAUAGAAAGCAUGAAGAAUCUGUAAACAAAAUGCAGGAAAUACUUGUAGAAUUAUUCUCCUAUUCAAAUGUCAAAUGGAAUAAGAAAACAUUUUCUUACUCAUAAACCAAAUACAGUAAUAGCAAUAUGAAAUUUCAGCUAAUUAUUUUUGUUCGUCAAUCAAUAUAAUAGAACUCUUAAGGGGGGCAUACCACUUGAUCGUUUACAUCAGAUUAACGAUUACAAAAUUACUCCUUAUCUUUCUUUCUUCUAAUCAACAGACUCCAUUUGAGUUAUUUCCAUGGCCUCUUCCUUCUCUUUCAUCUUUUUGUGAAGAAAAUUAAUCAACCUUUUUAGUGAAUCUUCAACUUCAUGUUCCUGCAACAACUGCUCUGCCACUUCUGCUGGUGUCACAUUGAGUAUGUCUAUCAAUUCCUCAAUUUCUUUGAAAAAUUUAUGAUCCUUAAUCCCUAAGUAAUUGGUAGCAAGAAGUUUGAAUCCAGAAGGUGUGCAGUAUGUCAUGUGAAUGUGCACAUCCAUUCUGCCAGGUCGCAGCAGUGCAGGGUCAAGCUUUUCUAUGUGAUUUUUUGUGAAAAUUAUGAUUCUUUCGCCUCCACAGCUCGACCAUAGCCCGUCAAUAAAAUUCAGUAAACCUGACAAGGUGAUCUGCAAUAAAAAAUAUAUAUCAGCAUGGUAAAGUAUUACACAAUACACUAUUACCAUAUCCAAAGUAUCCCAAUAAUUGACUCUUAAAUUAUUCAAGAAAAUUACAAAUUAAUGGAGGGUGAAAUUAUUGUAGUUCCAUGUUGGUAGAAUUUAUAAAAAAAUAUCGACUAUUUCGACACAUUAUAACAAUUGUUCUGAACUCCAUCACAUCUUGUCAUGUCGAAAUGCUGAAAUAAAAAGAAGCCAACAUAUCCUAUCUAAUUUAUGGUAAUUAAUCAAUUAACCUAAAAAUACUAAUAGCAAGAGGGAAACCCGUAAUCUUCAACUUGACCAAUUCCCUGACUAUAGAUGUCAAACUACCCCAUAAACUAAAACCAAGUCGGAAUAGUAAAGAUAGGAAAUACAAAAUUAAAAGACUAAAUUUACCAUGCUUUCUGACUGAUAAAAAUCAUUACCAUGCUUUCUGACUGAUAAAAAUCAUUUGAAUGAACAUUCAUAUCAUGAUUAACCAAAUUAGCUUCCAAAUUAAGGGUACAAUCAAUGUCCUCAAUCACCAAAAUUGACUUAUUGGUUGUGGCAACCAACAACUUCCUUAAAUCUAAAUUCCUUGUCACUUUAGUCAACUCCAAAUCAUAUAUAUUGAAAUUCAAAUAAUUCGCUAUUGCAGCUAUCAAACUAGAUUUCCCAGUCCCCGGAGGACCAAACAACAAAUACCCUCUUUUCCAUGCCUUUCCUACUUUCCAGUAAUACUCUUUCCUCGUCAUGAAUUUCUCCAAAUCCUUCAAGAUCAUGUCUUUCUGGUCUGAAUCCAUCACGAUUGUCUCAAAAGUGGUAGGAUGAUAAAAGUUCACCGACUUCCACAUGUUAUGUAAACAGAAUUUCUUUCCGUAACCCACAGUAUGAAUCUUGAUCGUCUUGUUUUUGUGUUUUUGCAAUGUUGCUUCUUCCACGAUGUAUGUCAAGUAAGAAUUAAGGACAAGGUCCUUGUUUUUCUUGUGAAAUGUCAACUCAAAGGACCUUAUUAUAGAUUUCUCAGCAGAAUCCAUGUCUCUGGGGUUGUAGAAGUGUUUAGACUCUGUUUGUUUGCAGAGCCAAAUCCACUUGAAUGUCUGUCCAUUAUAAACAUCUAUAACCUGUUGGAAUAGAAUCACAAGAUUAAAGAAAAAACAUCAUCUUCACAAGAUCUAUUAUCUUAAAUUAUUACGAAGGUAAAUUAAAUGUGGAAACUUACCUGAGCACUUAUGAAUAUAGAACAAUUUUUCAAAUCAUGAUUUUAAGAAAAGUGAUUUUUACUUUUCUAAUGGUGGACUAUUAGAAAAAUGUCAUAGUUUGUUUUUAUUUUUUCUUGUUUAUCAGUGAAUCAGAUGUUGUAUCAAGAUAUGUUUGUCUGAUCUUGAAACCCCAACCCCAACCCCAACCCUAUUUAUAAUUACACUUAGUUUGUUUGUUUCUAAGUUGUCUAAUUUAUCAUUAAAUUAGAAGUUGUAUUAGUAUAUCUAAACAUAAUAAUACAUUUUUUAUGAUGCUAAAAGCUAAAAAAUUUAUUUCUAAAUAGCUCAUAGACACAAUAUUUUUUAUAAUCUGUAGUGUCAAAAUAUUUUUGUUUACCCACAGAAUUAGUCCACUCUAGUCUAUGUAUUCUUAGUAAUUAAUAUAUUUGAAGAGUCAAAAGCAAUACAAUAUGUAUAUGCACGCAAAAUAUUACCUCCUCAUUACGUUCCAUGGUAAUGUUGAAAUUUUUCUCCUUCACAGUCUUACUGAUUUUAAGUCUAUGGAUGUGAGGGGAUAACUUGUUCGCCAAAUAGAUUGUUGCAGCUUCAUAAAUUUUGUUUUUGACUAGGCCAUCAAAUUCGUUAAUCACCAUCGUUAGCUGUUUUGAGGAAUUGGUGAACAUGUUCUUGAGUCCAUAGAAGAGAUACGCAUAGAGUUCCCUGGGAAUGUAGUUGUGGACUAUCGUCUGAACCAACAUGAUUGUUGUAGCAAUUGAGCCCACUCUCGAUAAAACCCUCUUUGCUAGGGCUAGUUUCAACUCUGUUGAUGAAGAGGACAUGCUUCUUAGGGACUUUUUCGCUAGUCCGUGUGUAAGAACUAGUUUUUUUCCCCUGAAAAACGAACAAUCAAUGCAAGAAAAUAGCGACAAGUAUUUAAUAUUUGAUUCCAAUUAUGUGUGGGAUUAUAAUGCUUAUGAAAUUUAUGUAGAAAGGUGUAAUCCUCUAAUUCUUAUCAUCAUGACCAUCAACUGUUGGUCUUUGCUUGUUCUUGAGUUGAUGAUUCAUUUGUUAUCGAAAUUUUAGUAUGAAUAUGGAGCUAGGGUUUGAUCACACAUAUGAAGGUAUAGAAACUUACGACUCACCACCAGAGAUGAAGAACUUGCAGAUCGCCCCUAGAGUGUAUAGUUCUCUCUAGUUCUUCGGAUGAUCUUCAGAUUGAAGAUGCUUUCUCCCCAAUUCCUUGAAUGAUCCCCUUGAGAGGUAUGUAUCACCCCUAUUUAUAGUUGUAGAAGAUAGACAAUUUAAGUGUAGUAGAUGAACUCUCUUGCUUGAUUUUGAUUGACUCAUUUGAUAAGAUCACAUUUAAUUGGCCAAGACAUGUCAGUUGUAACAUGUGUCUGCAUUUGAUUGGUGUUUAUUAUGACUAAGUGUGCGGCGUCAUUUGAAUACGUAAUAUCAUUUUAUUUGACUUGGUGUGUUGUAUCAUUUGACACGUGGAAUGGGCCUUGGGCUAAUUGAGCGGGCUCAUUAUUUGAAGACCAACUCAAUGGACCAGCUCAGGUGAAAUUGAACUUAUCUUUAAAUCCAUAUUUUGGAAUGAAAUUAUUUGAUCUUAAUUUGGGUAUGAUAUAUUUCUAGAUUUAAUUCCAUAACUCGUAUGUCUACUGAUGCUUUAAAAUUUUUCUUUAAUGUUAUGUGCCUAUCAUGUGAUAAAAUAGUAACCAAUACAUUGAUUCUCGAUUUUUUUUUGAUCUACAAGAAUGUAAGGAGUAAUAGGGGGUGGAAAAAAAGAGCGGGUGGAAUACGAAGAUCUAACCACCAAUAUGUAUAACUUACCUUUUUAAGUUUAGGUGAUACCUUUUUAUCACACAAUACUUUAGCGGCAAACCUUCAUUUCAUCCAUGCUGCCCCAAUGUGAUGUAUGACAUAUCCUCGAUGUCUCCACUAUUCUAGAGUACGAACCCAAGAUACUUACAACUCCCUCUUGGAAAUAGUUUGUGUGGCAAGCUUCUUAUUAAUAAACAAUAUGUCGUCUACAAAUAACAUAUAGCAAGGCACCUCCUUUUCAAUAGACCAUGUCAACUCAUCUAUCACCAAAGCAAAUAAGAAAGGGUAAAGAAUUGAUCCUUGAUGUAGCCCCAUCUCAACUAGGAAAUUCUCCAAGUCUCCUUUGAUCGUUCUAACCCGAGCCUUAGAUCUAUCUUUCAUGUUCGCCCUAAUAUAUGCCAUCAGGAUACCUUAGCCACAAAAUACCUCCAGAGAACAUCCCUUGGGACUUUAUCAUAAGCCCUUUGAAGGUCAAUGAACACCAUAUGAAGAUUCCUCUUUUUUUCUGUACUUCUCCAUUAAUCUCUGCACUAGGUGGAUGUUUUAAGUUGUCGAACACCCUAGCAUGCACCAAAAUUGAUCCCUAGAAAUGGACACGCCUAUCCUCACCCUCAUAUCUACCACUCUCCCAAACCUUUAUUGUGUGGCUCAGCAAUUUGAUACUUGCAGUUUUGGAUUUCACCCUUUUUCUUGUACAAUGGAACCAUUGUCCUCCACCUCCAUUCGUUGGGCUUUUUUGUUAUCUUAAAAAUAGCAUUAAAUAAAAAAAAUAAGGAAAUAGUAAAAUAGUAACCAAUAUAUUGAUUCUUAAAUUAUUAUCUUUUUCCGAUCUACAAGAAGGUAAGGGGAAUUAGGGUGCAAUGGCAGUUGAGGAAAAAUAUCAGAUUUAGAUGUUAUACACAAAAGUAUGCAAAAAUAACUUUAAUGAUUUUGUGUAGCAAGAAAAAGGAAUGUGUUGAUCAAUCUUACUAAAAAUAUAGAAAGAAUAUGAAUGUAAUAAAAACAAACAUUAGCAGCCUUUCGUUGUGAAGUUAUGACUAGAAUUGAUGGGUAUCAUUAAAAUACUAUUUUUACCUUUGAAAUAUCUUUACUUGAAACUUACUAUUUGCAUGACAAAUUACUGAUGAAUGUUUUAUUUUAUUCAUAAUAUAUUUCUUACAAAAUAUUAUUACACAAUAUUUGAGAAUGAUUUUUGUAGAGGGGUUAUUUGAGUGUACUAAUAUAAUGAAUGUUGUUAUAGAGAAGUACAAUAUAAUAUGAAAAAACUAUUGGAGAAAAUCAUGUCGUAAUAAUGACGGUCGUUAUAGAGUGUUUUGAUGGUAGUUAGUAUUGACGAUGUAGACUUUGAAACUUUCCUAUAUUGUGCCCUCUAGACUUUGUGAUUCUCAACUAAGGUUGUGUGAUAGAUAUUCUUGGUACUUAAGGGUACUCCAAGAUAUCUAAAUGGCAUGAACCCGUUUGAAAAGCCUAAUCAGUAGUUGUUGGUCAUCUUUUACUAGGGAUGACAAUGGGGCAGUGCGGGGUAGGGGUUGGGCGGGUUGAGCUUAACCCGCAAAAUUUUUAAUCUGCCCCGCCUUGCAUCACAAUUUGUUUCAUUUUCAAUCCACCCCACCCCAUCCCGCCUCCCAUAGACCUGCACCGCAUGAACCCCCCGCAUAAUUUUUUCCUUUUUUUCUUUUUCUAGCUUAGUUUGAUACUAAAAUAAAAUUCGUAAACAUAAAUUCAUUUUUGUAUUAAUUUAAUAGGAUAGUGACUUCCAAGUUUUAUUUUUUUAGAGGUCAUAUUAUAUUUUAUUGAACCAUUUUCAUUCACUAUCUUAAAUAUUUUAGUAGUUUUGAAGAAAUUAUCCUAAUAAAUAAUAUUUUUUCACUCUUAUAACAUAUAAAAAGUUAAAAUUAAGCUAGAACCCACAUAAAAUUACACAUACCCGCCUCAGUCCCGCAUUAGUAUUUAAAACCCCACUUCAAUCCGCCCUGCAUCCCACCUGCUCCGCACAACCUUCAACCCGUCUCGCCCUGCCCUACACUGUAUAGCCUUAAACACACCCCACCCCGCCCCGCAUCGGUUCCGCGACAUUGCCAUUCCUGUCUCUUACUCCAAAAUAAAUGGAGCUUUUCUCCUUAUUUUCCACUAACCCUGCAAAAUAAUAAUAAAUCAUCAGCAAAUCCUAGUUGGACCAGGUUCAACUUUGCACAUCUAGGAUGGUGUUUUAGUUGUGGUUGGAGCUUUAAUCUCUUUAGCAAUCUACUGAAGUAGUCAUAGCUAGAAAAAAAAUGUAAGGAGACACUGGGUAUCCUUGUCUUUUUUUGAUGAAGUAAUUAGUUCUAUUGCAGGCAUCAAGUAGAUGCAUAAUAGUUACAAAAGCUUAGUAGCAAAAGGUUAUCUCUCAUUUACAUUGUUAAUUGAGAAUCAGGGAGUAGACAUGGUUUAGAAGUGAAUCAGGGCAAUCUAGAGGGGAUAAAUAAACCCAAAUAUACAAAAACAUGAGGCAGUUAGCUUCUAAAGAUUGGUAAGUAGUUGAUAUUCCAUCAAAGCAUCUUCUAUUCCUUUCGUUCCAGAUACUCCAAAAAAUGGCUGAAGGUAUCAUCUUCCAUAUUCUCUUGAUGGUGCUAUCAACUUUCCAGCAACCCCAGCUUAUUACAACAUCCCUGAUAUUCUGAGGCAUGACCCAUUUGAAGCCAAAAAGAUCUAAAAACAUACUCCACAAGUUUGCUGCUAUUUGACAUUGUAGAAAUAGGCGGUUGUGUGUUUCUGCUUCCUUCUUGAACAUAUAACAUCUGGUAGCCAUCUGAAACUUCCUUCUGGUCAGGUUGUCUUGGGUCAGGCAAGCUCCAUGGUCCAGCUGAAGCAACUAAUCUUAGGAGGCAAUUUUAUCUUCCAUAUAAGCUUCCAAGGCUAGUGGUCUGUAAUUGCAUUUCGUGGGCCUAGAUGCUUGAGAGCUGCUUUAACUGAGAACUUCCCACCCCUUUUUUUCUCCCCAGUUGAGCUGGUCUGGUAUUUCACUGUUAAAUGCAACACUGUAAAGUGUUGCUAGUAGGCUGACCAACUCCUCCAUUUCCCAGUCCUGUAUGUUCCAAGAAUUCCCUUUUCUGUAUUGCUGAUUAGUAGAGUUAGGCUCCCUUGCUUUCUGGAACAUGUUAGGGUAAGCAACCAUUAAGGAGGAGUUGCCUAUCCAUUUGUCUCUCCAGAAACUGAUAUGUUGUCCAUUCCCUGCAAUUAAGUAUUUGUGUUGAGAGAACUCCUCCCAUAAUUUGCUUAUACUUCUCCAGACACCAACUCCAUAUGGAGCUGUUGAAACAUUAGAACACCAGUGGUUUAGUGCUUCAUGUUUAGCAAUAAUCACAUCCUUCCAAAGGCUAUGCUCCUCUUGAGUGUAUCUCCACAACCACUUCAUAAGUAGGCAUUUGUUUUGCAAUGCUAAGUCUCUAAUGCCCAAACCACCUAACUUUUUUGGUAACAAGACUAUUGGCCAAUUGACCAAAUGGAAUUUAUGGCUUUUGUUAUUCCCUUCCCAUAGAAAAUUCCUUCUGGUUUUGUCCAGUUGCUUCAAAGCCUUACUAGAUAUGGGAUGUAGUGACAUACUAUAUGUGCUAUCAAGUACACUGAUUAUCAAUGUAAGUCUUCCACCCAUAGAGAGGUACUGCAGUUGCCAUUUAGCAAGCCUUUUUUCAAACUUUUCAAUCAUUCCACUCCAGAUGCCAUCCGCCUUUUAUUUAGCCCCAAAUGGAAGGCCUAAGUAAGUGGUUGGGAAAAUUCCAGUUCUACAACCCAAUAUGUCUGCCAGCUCCUCAAUGUUCUGCACCUCAUUAAUAGGAUAGAUCACACUCUUGAGCAUGUUUAUAUGGAGACCUGAAACAGCUUCAAAUAUGAGUAGCGUAAGGUUUAAAUAUAGGACCUGCUCUCUGUCAGCCCCACAAAAGAUCAAUGUAUCAUCUGCGUAAAGCAAAUGUGAGAUGUUAACUGCUCUAUCCCUUCCUAUAUCAAAACCUUUGAGCCAUUGCAGUUGUUUGGCUUUGUUUAACAUUCUACUCAACCCUUCCAUAGCUAGGAUGAAUAGAAAAGGUGAAAGUGGAUCACCUUGCCUUAGGCCUCUCUGUGCAGAGAAAAAGCCUACUAGGCUUCUGUUGAUUAGAACUGAAUACUUAACUAUGGAGAUGUUGAACUUAAUCCAUUUAAUCGACCUAUCACCAAACCCCAUCUGCCGGAGAAUAGAUAUGAGAUAAGACCAAUUCAAAUGGUCAAAGGCUUUCUCAACAUCUAAUUUGCAAAGUAGUCCAGCAUUCCCUUGUUUCAAUUACCAAUCAAGCACCUCAUUUGCUAUGAGUGAGGCAUCAAUGAUUUGUCUCCCUUUGAUGAAGGCAUUUUGUUGGUUUGAGACUAGUUUCCCCAUAACUGUCUUCAAUCUAUUUGCGAGGACUUUUGCAAUGAUCUUGUAUAUGCUUCCAAUCAAGACUAAUAGGUCUGUAAUCCCUAAGUUCGCUUGCCCCCUUUUUCUUAGAAAGAAGUGAUAUGUAUGAAGCAUUACAAGACUUAACUAUCCAGCAAUGUUGAUGGUAGUGUUGCAUAACUGUUAAUAGAUCUGUCUUGAUAAACUCCCAAGAGCUCUGGAAGAAAGCCAUAGUAAAACCAUCAGGUCCGGGGGCUUUGUCAGGGGCACUUGAUUUAAUGGUUGCUAAUACUUCCUCCUCUCUGAAAGCUGCUUCUAAGUUACUGCUUUCCUAUGAUGGAGGCAAUUCCUUCAAACAUGAUUGUAGGCCUUCACUCUUCUAGUUCAGUGUACACUCCUUCAAAGAACUCUAGUGUCUUCUUUUUAAUUGUCUCCUUAUCUUCAAUGACCACAUUGUCUAGUAGAAGUCUGUCUAUGCAAUUGGAUCUUCUACUAGAAUUAGCAAUCUUCUGAAAGUAUUUGGUGUUCCUAUCCCCUUGAGCCAGAGGAACUUGGAUUUUGCCUACAUGAGAUCUCCUCUAUCUUGGCUAACUGUUGUAUCUCAGCUCUCAGGCUUGUCAUUUGACUAGCCUCUAUAGUGCUCAAUUGUUUGCCUUCAGUGUUCCGUUCCAAGAUCAUCAACUCGUCUAGUGCUUUUCCUUUCAUGGUCUCCAGUUUUCCAAAUUUCUCCUUGUUCCAAGUGGUUAUGUCCUUCUUUAGACUCUUCAAUUUUUGCAUAAGGAUGAAAUCAAUCCGCCCAUUUAAAUUUUAGCUCUGCCACCAGAGUUUUAGCUUAUCCAGAAAGCCAUCAACUUCCAGCCACAUGUUCUCAAAUUUAAAGUAGGAAGGAGUGGCAUCCCAAUCCUCACUUUCCAGUAAAAUGGGCCUGUGAUCUGAAAUUACCCUUGGCAAUGCAAUUUGUUUCACAACCUUGAAAGAGUCAUUCCAUUCCGAGGGUAUAAUGAAUCUGUCAAUUCUCAAAGCUUGUUGAUUGUUCUCAUCUCUGGACCAAGUGAAUUGGGCUCCCUGCAAUGGUAGGUCAAUUAUCCCCAGGUCUUGGAUUUUAUGUCUGAGAAUGUUGCCAUGGAUCUUGAUCUCCUUUUGCAAUUUAACCGUUCACUUUCAAAUCUGCAUACAUUGAAGUCACCCCCUAUGACCCACUCAUGUUCCCAAAGUCCUCUUAUCCCUGCUAGUUCAUCCCACAUCUCCUCCCUUUUCGAAUUAGUGUGUGGACCAUAAAUGCCCAUGAAGCACCAUCUGAACUCUUCAAGUGUACUUUGUAGCAUACACGAGAUCGAGUAACAGCCCAGUUGUGUGUCCAUUUUCACCCAUUUCCUUUUAUCCCAGAUUACUAUAAUACCACCUCUUGUGCCGUUUGCUGUAAGUUCCACCCAAUCAGCCCAUCUAUUCCCCCAUAAUUGUUGUUUAGUCUACAAUUGCAGCCUUGGACUUUGGUUUCUUGUAAACAUAAAAUGUCUACUUUCCACUUCUAAAUGAGGGAUUGAUAGUGCUUCUCUUCCCCUCCUCAUUCAGCCCCCUUAUAUUCCAACUAAGGACUUCCAAAUUCAUCUAGACAGUGAGGUGCACUGCCUGCCCCUACUUCCACUACUUUGUUGUUCUUUUUUGUCAUAAUUGAUCCCACAGAUUUAAUUUUUCCUCUCCCUUCUCCUUUGUUUUUUUUUCCGACUCCCAGACUCCUUUUAAUUUAACUCCAGCUUUUGAACUUGUUUUUGUCUUCUUUGCUCCAUUCUUAGAACUAAAUCUAAGAGAUCAUGUUCAAAACCUGUAGCAUUGACCCCGAAGGCUUCGCAUGCCUUAACCAUUGUGAUUUUUGUCCACUUUGAUGUCUCGACUACAGUUGGUUUGUCUAUAACCUGUGGAUUGGGGUUACCUUCAUACCAUGUGAAUGGUAAAGCUUCUCUUAUUGCUAUCGAGGGGAAAUCUGUAUCUGAGUUGAAAUAGGCAACCAGUUCCCUGCUUGAGGUGUGUUGUUGCAAUAGCCUGUGGAUUCUUUCAAGGGUAAUUCUUUCAUCAUCUGCAUCUGACUGCCCCACUCCUGAUAUUUGCUCUACGAAUUAUGUUUGUGAUAGAACACUGAAUCUAUUAGAAGCUGGGUUGGGUUUUUAAACUUGCCAAAUGGUUAUAAGUUUAAAGAGUUUGGCCUCAUUUAAAACUUUAGCUUUUUCUCUCUUGCCAUUUGGGCCUGUUUGGUAAUAAAUCUGAUCAGCUUCUAGGCUCACUUGUAGUUGAUUCAGCACUGGACCACUCCCAUUAACAUUAUUAGAUUCUUUGACUUUUGCCCUUUUGUCCACUGGGCAAUCCAGGUUGUCCCUUUUUGGAGUAAAGUUGUCCUCUUUUGAAUUAAAGUUGCUCCUUUUUAAAUUAAAGUUGUCCCUUUGUGUCUCUUCAUAUGAUACGAGGUUUGAGGUGCCAACUUCUUCCUUUGACUUCCCUUUCUCGAGAAGAGUGGCUUUUCCGGCGAGACGAACAACCGUAUGCAGAUCCUCUAAGACUGUGAGAUCGAAACCCCAAUCUUCUUUGAGCAGCUCUAUGGAUCUUGUGAUUACCUUCAUGUUCUUCUUCGCACAUAUUCGAGCCCAUAGCAUGUGUGUUCUGUGUGUCGUGUCUUCAUCAACUCCAACAUAGCCUCCGCACUUAUCUCUGAUAAAUUGAAAGGUUUCUGAAGACCAUGCGUGUAGUGGAAUUCCAAAAACCUUUAUCCAUUUAUGAUCAGAUUUCUCUGAGGUUAGCUUUGAGCCAGCCACUGAAGACCACCAUUCAAGAGUUAGCUUUCGUCCCUUCCAGAACCACUCACAAGCUUUUACCCUACAUGCCUCCAGUAUUGAUUAUGGUUAAUGGAUGUGACUUUAAGUCCUGCAGUAACUUGCCACCUGCCCACAAACCAUUUUUGGAUGAUCUCUGCAUUUGGACUAGUGUUGAAUGGGUCUCCUUGACUUAACCCUCGUUUUGCUUCAAAAGGUACAGUUGGUUCCUCUUGUCACAAUAGAAUAGGAGACUAAUGUGAGGCACUCCAUAAUCCAGUGCACAAAUUUUGUUGGAAAAUUCAUGCGAUUCAAAACUUGUUCCGCUAAGAUCCAUUCCUCUGAAUAAUUACUUACCACUUGCAAUCAAUGAGUAUUGUACAAUAGGAAAUGGGUCGAAAUUUCUUCACAGAAGAUGGACUCUUCACUUUAGGGAGUAGGGUAACUUGUGUGCAAUUUAUUGGCUUGUAAAUGGUUGAUCAAUUAAUGAACUCUAUUACAGCAACAACAUCUAUGACAUCUCCUCCAAUUACUGGCCAUGAUUUUAUGAAGAAGCAUGAAUUAAAACCGUCUACACCUGGGGCUUUUAAUUCAUCAAUACUCUUUAGAGCAGUAUACAACUCUUCCCGUCUAACGGGCGCUAUCAACUCCAGCUUCCUGUUAUUAAAGGCUAUCAACUCCAGCUGUUG
rnacentral:lncRNA from 1 species